GACGAACGCUGGCGGCGUGCUUAACACAUGCAAGUCGAGCGGAAAGGCCACUUCGGUGGUACUCGAGCGGCGAACGGGUGAGUAACACGUGAGUAAUCUGCCCCUCACUUUGGGAUAGCCACCCGAUACGGAGAUCAAUACCGGAUAUGACCAAAAGUUGCAUGCCGUGUGGUGGAAAGUUUUUCGGUGAGGGAUGUGCUCGCGGCCUAUCAGCUUGAUGGUGAGGUAAUGGCUCACCAUGGCCUCGACGGGUAGCCGGCCUGAGAGGGCGACCGGUCACACUGGGACUGAGACACGGCCCAGACUCCUACGGGAGGCAGCAGUGGGGAAUAUUGCACAAUGGGCGGAAGCCUGAUCCAGCAACGCCGCGUGAGGGAUGACGGCCUUCGGGUUGUAAACCUCUUUCAGUACGGACGAAGCGCAAGUGACGGUAGGUACAGAAGAAGCACCGGCCAACUACGUG
rnacentral:rRNA from 1 species